CCUCACCUGCAACGACACGCACUCCUUCUCCCUCAUGCACGGCGAAGGAGUAUUGCUGCAGCUGCGCGCGUGCGCCUGUAUAAGGCUUCCUGCACCCCUUUCUGUGAGCCAGCACGUAGUCUUUUGUCCUCUCCCGCUUUCUCGUCUGUGCCACCGACGCCUUCUGCAUCGCUCUGCCGAAUCAGCGCACACUCCUCCCCCUCCUUCACCGACCUGCUCUGCAGUAGCGUCUUGUCAGGAGAGCGCGUCGCGCACCGCUCCUCUAUCGGGAGACCACACAGCACAAUCACACCUCACCUCUGCGACCUUCUUCACAGCAGUCAUGCUUUUUAUUUUCCAACUCUUCGACUCCCGUACGUGUUACACGUCUCGCUCUGCUACAGUCAUACCACGACCGCCCUCAUCGACAUCGACCACAGCCACGAAAACAGCACCGACGACAAGUAGCCUCCAGCUCAACGCCACCCGAUAUCGGAUGCGGAUUCCUCGGUGUAGCUCUUGACUCUCUCCUUCUCAUCACUGCAAUCGAGGACUUGUGGUCUUGUCGCGUUCGCCGCCAGCUCCAGAGCGGUCGGGAAAAGAGGGAGAGCCACAAAGGGUGCGUGAUGGCGGCGAUGAUGGCCCGUGAGCCAUAGAUAUUCGCACCCGGGACGGCGUUCCAGCGCAUUGCCCUUACGCGUCAUCUGUGCCAGGCAGCGGCGUUACUCGUGCCUCAUAGCACGGCGCCCCUCACCACGCUUGUUGGAAGGUCGAGGAUGCAGGGAAGACAUCGUCUUCGGGCACGAGAUCUUCAUGCUUUUCUGAGGCCGCUGUGAACUUUUUUUGCCUUUGCGAACCCGCCUCCAGAAGGCCGACCUCGAAUCGAUGUUGCUGCUCAUGGUGGCGCUGAUGAGGAUGAGGCGCUAGAGCAGCGUCAGGGGAAGGUGGAGGCGUACAGGGCACGGAAAGCAAAGUGGCCUCUGGGCGCAGCGCUGCAACGUACUAGAGCGCUCCCCCUGAUGAGCUGCACAUCAAGAAAGGCAACGAUAACGAUCCCGGAGCCCAGUCUCUUGCAGCUGUUCUGCGUAAGUGUGGAUGGCCGUGCUGCAUGACGCGAACCGUCAGAAGGGCGGCAAACAUCGCGCCAGCGAACAUCACGCAGCUGCCACUUCAGCGACAUCACCGCUACAGCUUGGUCUGCUCUGUUUGUGAACGCUCUGUCUUCCACAGCCUCCCCACCAUCUCUGGUAACGUGUGCCCAUCCUCCUCCUCCUCCCCCCUCCCUUUUUCUUGCAAUCGUCCCUCGCAUCGAUGGCACUCCACGGAUGUUGCUCCCCUGCGGUGCACAUGGACUUCUUGUGCAUGCUGGCUGUUGUGUAAAGGGGGAAUCCCUGGCUCACCUGUUGAUGCACCCCACAAGGACCAGCCUAGGCAAGAGCCGAACACGAAGACCAGCAAUGUGAUCCUCCUCUCUCC
rnacentral:misc_RNA from 1 species